GACGAACGCUGGCGGCGUGCUUAACACAUGCAAGUCGAACGGAAAGGCCCUGCUUUUGUGGGGUGCUCGAGUGGCGAACGGGUGAGUAACACGUGAGUAACCUGCCCUUGACUUUGGGAUAACUUCAGGAAACUGGGGCUAAUACCGGAUAGGAGCUCCUGCUGCAUGGUGGGGGUUGGAAAGUUUCGGCGGUGGGGGAUGGACUCGCGGCUUAUCAGCUUGUUGGUGGGGUAGUGGCUUACCAAGGCUUUGACGGGUAGCCGGCCUGAGAGGGUGACCGGCCACAUUGGGACUGAGAUACGGCCCAGACGCCUACGGGAGGCAGCAGUGGGGAAUAUUGCACAAUGGGCGGAAGCCUGAUGCAGCAACGCCGCGUGCGGGAUGACGGCCUUCGGGUUGUAAACCGCUUUCGCCUGUGACGAAGCGUGAGUGACGGUAAUGGGUAAAGAAGCACCGGCUAACUACGUG
rnacentral:rRNA from 1 species